ACUGCUAAGUCAGUCGAGUGGAACCGCCUCUAUUUAUAGAAGCCUGGCCUUCUGGAGGAAAGAGUGGCUUUAGUUUGGUCUGGAGAAGGGGGAGGGUGUGUGUGUGUGUAUGUGUGUGAUUGUGUGUCUGUGUGUGUGUGUGUUGUGUGUGUGUGUGUGUGUGUGUGUGUAUCUGAACGUUGAGGACCUCCUGACACAGCAUAAUUCUAAAUUUAUGAACACCGGAAUGGUCUGAACAUUGAACAUGAAAUAUUUUUGGGGAGGCAACAAUUCAGAAAGGUCACAUGGAGUUUUGCAUUAAGGCGAGGGCCGCACCACUGCAGCACCAUAGGGAGUUUAUGGGCAUGCUCUGAUGGCCAACACUGACCUCUUCAGCUGAGCACCAUGUUUGGGCAUUGAAGAAGCCACACUCCACAGUUAUAACAUAAGGAGAUGUUUUUCUGAUGUACACUAAAUUAUAUAGUGAGUGAUAAAUAAGUGUUUUGUGAGACAACAAUACAAUAUAUUAU